GUGGGGAAUAUUGGGCAAUGGGCGCAAGCCUGACCCAGCAACGCCGCGUGAGGGAAGAAGGUUUUCGGAUUGUAAACCUCUGUCCUUAGGGACGAAAAAAAUGACGGUACCUAAGGAGGAAGCUCCGGCUAACUACGUGCCAGCAGCCGCGGUAAUACGUAGGGAGCAAGCGUUGUCCGGAAUUACUGGGCGUAAAGGGGGCGUAGGUGGCCAUGCAAGUCAGAUGUGAAAUCCCCGGGAUUAACGCGGGGGGUGCAUUUGAAACCGCGUGGCUUGAGUGAAGGAGAGGAAAGCGGAAUUCCUAGUGUAGCGGUGAAAUGCGUAGAUAUUAGGAGGAACACCAGUGGCGAAGGCGGCUUUCUGGACUGUAACUGACACUGAGGCACGAAAGCGUGGGGAGCAAACAGGAUUAGAUACCCUAGUAGUCC
rnacentral:rRNA from 1 species